rnacentral:rRNA from 1 species
CACGUAGGGGGCAAGCGUUGUCCGGAUUCACUGGGCGUAAAGCGCACGCAGGCGGUUCUGCAAGUCGGACGUGAAAUCCCGCGGCUCAACCGUGGAAUUGCGUUCGAUACUGCAGGGCUUGAGCACGGGAGAGGAAGGUGGAAUUCCCGGUGUAGCGGUGAAAUGCGCAGAUAUCGGGAGGAACACCAGUGGCGAAGGCGGCCUUCUGGCCCGUUGCUGACGCUCAGGUGCGAAAGCCAGGGGAGCAAACAGG